rnacentral:rRNA from 1 species
AGAGUUUGAUCAUGGCUCAGAUUGAACGCUGGCGGUAUGCUUAACACAUGCAAGUCGGACGGCAGCAUGAUGUGUAGCAAUACACAUUGAUGGCGAGUGGCGGACGGGUGAGAAACGCGUAGGAAUCUGCCUUAUAGAGGGGGACAACUAGAGGAAACUCUAGCUAAUACCGCAUAAAGUCUACGGACCAAAUGCUGGGUAGCAAUACCUGGCGCUAUGAGAGGAGCCUGCGUCCGAUUAGCUAGUUGGUGGGGUAAAGGCCUACCAAGGCGAUGAUCGGUAGCUGGUCUGAGAGGAUGAUCAGCCACACUGGGACUGAGACACGGCCCAGACUCCUACGGGAGGCAGCAGUGGGGAAUAUUGGACAAUGGGGGCAACCCUGAUCCAGCAAUACCGCGUGUGUGAAGAAGGCCUUCGGGUUGUAAAGCACUUUAGGUUGGGAAGAAGGUGUAUUGUUUAAGAGAUGAUACAUUUGACUGUACCGACAGAAUAAGCACCGGCUAACUCUGUGCCAGCAGCCGCGGUAAUACAGAGGGUGCAAGCGUUAAUCGGAGUUACUGGGCGUAAAGGGCGCGUAGGCGGUUUAUUAAGUGAGAUGUGAAAGCCCUGGGCUUAACCUAGGAACUGCAUCUUAAACUGGUAGACUGGAGUACUGUAGAGGGUAGUGGAAUUUCCGGUGUAGCGGUGAAAUGCGUAGAGAUCGGAAGGAACACCAGUGGCGAAGGCGGCUACCUGGACAGAUACUGACGCUGAGGCGCGAGAGCGUGGGGAGCAAACAGGAUUAGAUACCCUAGUAGUCC